GAAAGCGCAUGCUUUUUGUUUGAAAACCAAGGUGGUAUGGGAUGGACCCGCGUCUGAUUAGCUGGUUGGCGGGGUAAAGGCCCAUCAAGGCGACGAUCAGUAGCCGGCCUGAGAGGGUGGACGGCCACAUUGGGACUGAGACACGGCCCAAACUCCUACGGGAGGCAGCAGUGGGGAAUAUUGCACAAUGGGGGAAACCCUGAUGCAGCGACGCCGCGUGAGUGAAGAAGUAAUUCGUUAUGUAAAGCUCUAUCAGCAGGGAAGAAAAUGACGGUACCUGAGUAAGAAGCCCCGGCUAACUACGUGCCAGCAGCCGCGGUAAUACGUAGGGGGCAAGCGUUAUCCGGAUUUACUGGGUGUAAAGGGAGCGUAGACGGCAGUGCAAGUCUGGAGUGAAAGGCGGGGGCUCAACCCCCGGACUGCUCUGGAAACUGUACGGCUGGAGUGCAGGAGAGGUAAGUGGAAUUCCUAGUGUAGCGGUGAAAUGCGUAGAUAUUAGGAGGAACACCAGUGGCGAAGGCGGCUUACUGGACUGUAACUGACGUUGAGGCUCGAAAGCGUGGGGAGCAGACAGGAUUAGAUACCCUGGUAGUCCACGCCGUAAAC
rnacentral:rRNA from 1 species